rnacentral:rRNA from 1 species
AGGAUAAACGCUGGCGGCGUGCUUAACACAUGCAAGUCGAGCGGAAAGGCCCUUCGGGGUACUCGAGCGGCGAACGGGUGAGUAACACGUGAGUAAUCUGCCUUCAGCUCUGGGAUAGCUCUGGGAAACCGGGAUUAAUACCGGAUAUGACUGCCUUGGACAUCUGGGGUGGUGGAAAGUUUUUCGGCUGGAGAUGAGCUCGCGGCCUAUCAGCUUGUUGGUGGGUAAAGGCCUACCAAGGCGACGACGGGUAGCCGGCCUGAGAGGGCGACCGGGCCACGACUGGGACUGAGACACGGCCCAGACUCCUACGGGAGGCAGCAGUGGGGAAUAUUGCGCAAUGGGCGGAAGCCUGACGCAGCGACGCCGCGUGGGGGAUGAAGGCCUUCGGGUUGUAAACCCUUUCAGCAGGGACGAAGCGCAAGUGACGGUACCUGCAGAAGAAGCGCCGGCUAACUACGUGCCAGCAGCCGC